UUCAGCCGAGGGUAAGUCGGUCCUAAGACGUACCUUAAUCGGAGUACGCCAAAUGGGAAACAGGUUAAUAUUCCUGUACCUUUCAGCAUUAAAACCAACACUUCCGGAUAUGUCAGGCAUUCUUGCCUGGAUGUUCAAGCGUCUCAAAUCUGCGGAGAGCCGUAAUGGCGAGAAACAGAUUAAAGCGUGAUGACGUAAGCUGGCAAAUUCCAGGAGUCCGUGAAAAGGGAGCUGAGAGUCCGUACCGAGAUCCAACACUGGUGCCCCAAGCUGAGAAGGCUAAGGCGUGUCGGCAUAUGCUAGCUAAGGGAAUUCGGCAAAAUAGCCACGUAACUUCGGGAUAAGUGGUGCCUGCUUUGCAAAAAGCAGGUCGCAGCGACGAGGGGACUCUAACUGUCUAAUAACAACACAGGUGAUUGCGAAUCCGUAAGGACUAGUACAAUCACUGAAUCCUGCCCAGUGCAGGUACCUGAAAACCCGGUUCAACGGGAAGAAGGGCCUGUCAACGGCGGGGGUAACUAUGACCCUCUUAAGGUAGCGUAGUACCUUGCCGCUUAAUUGGCGGCUUGCAUGAAUGGAUCAAUGAGAGUCCCACUGUCCCUAGCUGGUACCCGGUGAACCUUACGUUCCAGUGCAGAGUCUGGAGACCCCUAAUGGGAAGUGAAGACCCCGUGGAGCUUUACUGCAGCCUGCCGUUGGGUUGUGGUUUUGAUUGUAGAGCAUAGGUAGGAGACGUCGAAGCUCGGGCGCCAGUCCGAGUGGAGUCGCCCUUGGAAUACUACCCUUUCGAAGCUACCGCCCUAACUCUGAGAAGAGGACCUCGGUAGGUGGGCAGUUUGGGUGGGGCGCCACGCCCUUGAAAAGAUAUCAAGGGCGCCCUAAGGUUGACUCAGUUGGGUCGGAAACCCAACAAAGAGUGUAAAGGCAUAAGUCAGCCUGAUGUUACCUCGCAUAGCAAGAGGUGAUAAGACGAAAGUCAGGCAUAGCGAACCUCUCAGCUCUCUUGGUGUGAGCGUUAGAUGACAGAAAAGCUACCCCGGGGAUAACAGAGUCGUCACCGGCAAGAGCACAUAUCGACCCGGUGGCUUGCUACCUCGAUGUCGGUUCUUUCCAUCCUGGCCGUGCAGCAGCGGCCAAGGGUGAGGUUGUUCGCCUAUUAAAGGAGAUCGUGAGCUGGGUUUAGACCGUCGUGAGACAGGUCGGUUACUAUCUGUUAGGGGUGUAUUGCGGUCUGAGGGCAGGUUGGUUUUAGUACGAGAGGAACAAGCCAACGGCACCUCCG
rnacentral:rRNA from 1 species